ensembl:lncRNA
GGGCUUCGCAGCAUUGUAGUUCGAAAGAUCGGUUGGCAGUAUAACGUGUACCCAACGAAAGGUGUAACCGUAUGUUGUGUUGACUUAAAGUAUCAACAAACAUUAAUUAACAUUAAUUAAUUGCAUUAUUACAUCGUGUUUUUUCCGCCGUUGGCCCGACUGAGUAUAAGUGGCUGUGUUCUACGACAUGCGUUGAACAUAUUGGCAAAGAUCGUUUGGCAGUAUAAGUGUACCCAACGCAAAGCCAACCGUGGAAGUUGUGUUGACUUCAAUAUCGGCCACAGAUCGUGGAAAGCCUCAUCAACUGAUGACCCUGUCCUUGUUUUAUGGGGCGCACCGAGGGAGCCCGAGCUGGAGGGUGCCCCUGAGGAGCCUCUGCCGCCACCACCACCACCACCAGAAUGGUUGGAGGAGGGGUUACUGCUGCCGCCCCCGGAGGGGUGGGAUUACGCUUCUGUCCUGUCACUGAGCCCAGUCUCGAUCCUGGUUGGUUUUUGUUUGUGAAUGCAGCCCAUUAUGUUUGGUUUUCUGUCCUUGUCCUUAUUGUUUCCACCUGUGUCUUGUUUGCUCCCUCGUUGUGUCUCUAUUUAAGUUCCUCCUGCCCCAGUGGAUGCAUGGAAGAAUGUUUCAGAGAGAGUGAUACAUGCAUGAAGUAAAACGAAGUAAAUUGUUAUUUAAACAUUGACAAAUCACUGAUUUGGCAUCAUGUUGAUAAGUAAUACAUUUUUUGUAGUGGAG